rnacentral:rRNA from 1 species
CAAUAGCGUAUAUUAAAGUUGUUGCGGUUAAAAAGCUCGUAGUUGGAUUUCUGCUGAGAACGACCGGUCCGCCCUUUGGGUGUGUAUCUGGCUCUUUCUUGGCAUCUUCUUGGUGAACGUUGCUGCACUUGACUGUGUGGAGCGCUACCCAGGACUUUUACUUUGAGGAAAUUAGAGUGUUUCAAGCAGGCAUACGCCUUGAAUACAUUAGCAUGGAAUAAUAAGAUAGGACCUCGGUUCUAUUUUGUUGGUUUCUAGAGCUGAGGUAAUGAUUAAUAGGGAUAGUUGGGGGCAUUCGUAUUUAACUGUCAGAGGUGAAAUUCUUGGAUUUAUUAAAGACUAACAUCUGCGAAAGCAUUUGCCAAGGAUGUUUUCAUUAA